GAUGAACGCUGGCGGCGUGCUUAACACAUGCAAGUCGAACGGAAAGGCCCCGUUGGGGGUACUCGAGUGGCGAACGGGUGAGUAAGACGGGAGUAACCGGCCCUUGACUGCGGGUGAACUACAGGAAACUGGGGCUAAUACCGGCUAGGAAUCCUUGCUGCAUGGGGGGGGUUGGAAAGCAUCGGCGGUUUUGGAUGGACUGGCGGCUGAUCAGCUUGCUGGUGGGGUAGUGGCUUACCUAGGGUUUGACGGGUAGCCGGCCUGAGAGGGCGACCGGCCACAUUGGGACUGCGCCUCCGGCCAGCCUCCUUCGGGGGGCCGCAGUGGGGGAUGUUGGCCAAAGGGCGGCAGCCUGAUGCCGCGACGCCGCCUGCGGGAUGACUGCCUUGCGGUUGUGAGCCGCUUUCAGCAGGGGCGAAGCUUGUAGUGACGGUACCUGCAGAAGAAGCACCGGCUAACUACGUG
rnacentral:rRNA from 1 species